AGAGUUUGAUCCUGGCUCAGAGCGAACGCUGGCGGCAGGCCUAACACAUGCAAGUCGAACGAACUCUUCGGAGUUAGUGGCGGACGGGUGAGUAACACGUGGGAACGUGCCUUUAGGUUCGGAAUAACUCAGGGAAACUUGUGCUAAUACCGAAUGUGCCCUUCGGGGGAAAGAUUUAUCGCCUUUAGAGCGGCCCGCGUCUGAUUAGCUUGUUGGUGGGGUAAUGGCCCACUAAGGCUACGAUCAGUAGCUGGUCUGAGAGGAUGACCAGCCACAUUGGGACUGAGACACGGCCCAAACUCCUACGGGAGGCAGCAGUGGGGAAUCUUGCGCAAUGGGCGAAAGCCUGACGCAGCCAUGCCGCGUGUAUGAUGAAGGUCUUAGGAUUGUAAAAUACUUUCACCGGUGAAGAUAAUGACUGUAGCCGAGAAGAG
rnacentral:rRNA from 1 species